GCGCGAUCGGUGCAGUAAUGUCUGCAUGACAAGCAACGCUGGUUAGGCCUCUAUAGAAACCCGACCGGUUAGCGCACACCCCGUAGCCUCCAGGGACCAACCGCACUUGCGCACGCGCUGGCUGGCUCGGCGGCAAGGGGAAGGGAGCUAAGGAGAGGGAGGGGAGCAGAAGGCGGCAGCGACGGUGGCCGCUGGAGGGGUGUCGUCGACGGCGGUGGCCGCUGGAGGGGGUGCCGACUACGAGGGUGGGGAAGAUAGGAAGGAAAUGGAAGGGAGUGGUAGCUGCUGGAGGAGGGGAGGGGGGACGGGGUUUAACUCGUCGUCCGGGCCUAGGUUGCGUCCGAGUCUAGGCCGUGCGAGUAUUGGGACCAAGCAGGACUCCUGUGAUACCUGUUCUACGAGACCCGGAUCACUACGUCGGUACCUGUUCCUGAGUACACCAGCAGCUAAUGUUCCCACAGAGUCCCCCAAUUUCUUCAACACAAGAAUGUCUAAACUCGACUUUCAUUAAGUUUUAUCCUCCGGCCUUCCCUAGAAUAUGAUGCUACUCGCAAAAGAAGUUAGUAUGGUUUUACGUACUUUUUAUAUCGACACCAACAACCGGACUAAAUUUACUCUUAAAUUUAUAAAGAACGAACCAAUAAGGUCAAUACAAUGUUAUAAACUAAAAGCAUCGAGUCCUACAGCUAAGUGUAACGGAAUUAAGGACAUACGACCAAAGAAAGAUGGGGAACAGUCCCUCUAGGUCCUUCCUCCACUGGCAGAGGGUGCCGCAGCGUAGCAGUACUCCUCCUGCUUUCACUCGUACCCGACAUCCGACCACUGUAUGUAUGACCAAUUCCCACCUAUAUACACUAAACACACGGCACAGCCAAGGUCCAUCGUGUUACAAAGUCUGAGUCUCGUUUCCUUUUUCGACUAGUUAUCCAAAGUCGGUACUACGAGAGUCAACUGUCGCCGCCGCCUGUCGCGACCCGCCGUGCGGGUAGUCACGGGCACACGGGGCUGGCCACGCCUGACGAACACAUCCCGGUGUAGUCGACCAACGAGUUCGGACGCACACCUGACGGGCGAUUCUAACUAAAGGUCGAGUAGAGGUACCCAAGGGACUCCACUCGCGCUACGGCUCCUCUCUACCGCAGCUCCUGCUGUAGACUCCUGUAGUAGUGCGAGUACCGAGGCGGCGGUAGCAGUAGCUCAAAAAACCAAAGUGUCGUUUGUCCACACGCUGCCCGGCCGUUGGUCGCCGCGGUAGAGAUAGGGACUGUGAUCUAUUAUCGCACCGAUUACCGGGCGCGCGCCGCGCGGACAGACACGGGCACGCGAGUCCGACUACGCCUGACGCUGACGCGCAUCCCGGCGGCGUCGACGUACGAGUUCCGCCGCACGCCUGACGGACCAUUCGAGGUAGUUAGGUGAGACUUAGAGGAACAAAACGUCAGAACGAGAUAGAUCCAACCCCGGGGCAUGUUGUGACGAAGUUUAUAUACACGGGAAUUCCGCAUCACAAGUACCCCUAUUUUUUUGAGACAACCCAAAGUUCACCAUGGACUUGCAGAUAUGUAACUUAUUUCAAAGGGAAUUCUAAGGUGUUCUCUCAGAAGAUAAGAGUAAAAUCUUGUCUUAUAUAAACUAUAUAACAAGUUAUGAUUACACCUGUGUACCUGUUACGAAAAAGUGAUAGUUUGAUACCACGUUAGAAAUAAAACAAAGCAGGGUGUACUUACUUUGCCGAGUGAUGAAUAAAGGAAACAAAUAAUCGUGUCCGUACAAUUCGUGGGGUUGGUAGUCUGUAAAUAAAGGUAAUGAUUAUCAUUCUAGGUGUGCUUAUUAUGGACGUGAGUCAAUAAGUCACUUAACGAGACGCUAAUUUAACACGGAGUGGUUAUAAAGAUACUCAUAUGAUAAAUAUGCGAGUAUGUGUCUCAUUAUCGAUAAACAAAAAAUUAAAUAAUGGUGUAAGGACGAUUGCUCAGUUGUUCGUCUAUAAAUCGAGGUAGCGAUUAUCAUUCUUUGCUCAACAGGUUGUUAUACUUCUCCAAGGGUAAGGUCAAAUAGAUUACCAACACUGAAGGUGACAAUCACGUAAACUAACGAGACGAUUCAGGGAAGAUAAUCUAAAGAACAAAUAAAAAAUGUACCAAAUGGUUGAAAGUCUUCGUGUUUAUGUACUUGAUAAACUAAAGUAACACCGACUCAACCUUUCUAAACAACUCUGACUUCCUCUACUAAAGGUGAACGGACACCCGUCCGUAUCCCUUGACCCAAAGUGGAAAGGAAAGCAUAAUGUGGUUUGGAACUAUAGCAGUCCGUGGUAGCAAUUCACCUUUUUCCCUAAAACGUAGUUACCUUACCAUUUUUAGUUUACUAGCGUCAUGUAUGAACCGACUGUCUUACUAUAUGAUUAUUGUCAUUUAAAUCCUAAGAAAAUCAUAGGUUUUUUGCCACCAAGAAUAGGAAAGAACAGUGAAGUACACAGUAACUAAAUAAGAGGGUAAUAGGUCUCUUUGUGACUGAAACAAUAGGUUCUGGUCACCAAUGCGAGAACCCAGUUAUAAGUCCUAUUAGUGGUAAUUAAUUCGUUGGUGUGGAUGUUAUUACAGUAGGCCACCUUAGUGCACAACGACGAUUAGUCCAGAAGAGGAACGAAAGAAAACGCCUUUGAGACAUAACUGUUGUGACGGAAUGUAAACCGUCGGACAGUAAUCACGGAUACAAUUAGGUACUCGUUAAAAGAUUCUAAUCAGAAAGACAAAAAAAAUACUUUUAGUAACCCCCGUGCACUCUAGAGAACCUCGUAAAAAACAUAGUAAGAAUGACACACUCAUAAAUUAGAAGACCAGACAACGAAAAUUUAUCUACUACCUGUAAAUUCCGUACGACUCUAUUAAAGAGAAACAUAACAAGAUCGGGCACUCACAUAGAUUGCAACAUCAAAUAACGAAGAUUCAAAAACUGACCAACAAAACUGCUACAGAAGCUGGAUACACAGGUCCAAUUUAAAGUCGGGGAGUGUUGCGUAAAUCAUAAACGUCCUAGAUUCUGCUGUGUAUAGUGUGAAGACGGGCAGUAGGAUUAAAACCACGAAAAAAUCUCCACACCCUAACCCGUCACCACUCGAACCGAGAGUAUAGUCCAAAGAGCAGAUGUAAUUAGAACUACAUACGUUCUUAAAGAAUAGAAUCACUAUAGUUAGAUAAUCAUACAGGUACGUCAAUAUCGAGACAAUGAAAGG
rnacentral:rRNA from 1 species